GGGCGUAUAGCUCAGCUGGUAGAGCACCUGUUUUACACACAGGCGGUCAUAGGUUCAAAUCCUGUUGCGCCCA
rnacentral:tRNA from 2 species